rnacentral:tRNA from 1 species
GGGAGGUUGGCCGAGUGGUUUAAGGCGUCAGAUUUAGGUUCUUUAAGAAAUAUUCUGAUAUCUUCGGAUGCGUGGGUUCGAACCCCACACCUCUCA